CCCCCGGCCUCCGCCUUCACCCCAUCCGCCCCGCCGCCGACCUGGCCGGGCCCCGCGCCUCCACCCUCGCCUCCUCCUCCUUCUCCUCCGCCACGCCCCCCCCCUCCCUGCCGGCGAGCCCCCAGGUGCCCCAGCAGGCGCGGCACGCGCCGUCCAAUCAGCUCUCGGUGUCCAGCAGCCACAACUCGUUGGAGGGGGAGGUGCCGGUCUCCGACAUCUACUUUCAAAGUCAGGAGGACAGGAGCUGGGUGUAUUCUCCCCUUCACUCCGGCUCAGAGUCCAGAAGGGACUCUGGCGGGGAGAGUGAUAAACAGUAGCAGUUGGGUUCAUGUCUUUAUUGGAAAUGAAAAUCUUGGGGCUCAAGACAAGACACUCCUAAACUCAGUUUGGGAUGGACUUUUUUUAACGCUGGUAUCCCAAAUCACACGUGAAUUCCUAUAUGUGCAAUGCAAGUAUGCAGUGACAUGUUUACAAACAUAUAAAAACACCUGUGCGCAGGUUUGCUGCAUUAUAUCGCAAAAAAAAUACUCAAUAAUAAUAUUUUGUCAUAUCAAACUAUUUACAGCGUAACAUGACUUGAAUGAAAACAAAUCAGAAGAAAAUAGAAACCGAGAGCCGAGAGAGAGCGAUGGAUACUGAACACCUGCGCCCUUGCUGGUUCUUACUUACUUAUGGCUGCUCAUAUCAAAAAGCCAUGUUCUGUGGGAGGGGCUAACCCUCAAUUUUCUCAUCUAUUGGUUUGUGAAGCUUUCAAUCAAACCGCAGCCUGUAGGUGAGUCAGGGAUUCGUUGUGUGUGUGCGCCGCAUGGUUUUGUCUCCGUACGCUCCGUGUAAAUCAUGUGCGCUCAUUAGGCUCUGUGACUCUGGCUAUGCAAUACGGACAACAGCGCUGGGGAAACGGUCGCUUGAAAGCCGUGCCUCAGCACUUUUCUACGACUUCAUGCGUUCAUUUGAUCUAUUGUUGUUCAUUGUACAGCGUGGAUUGAUCCUUUUUCAUGAAGCCUAAAAUGUGUUGUCUUUUUUUUUAAGCAUGCAAAUGCUGCACAUGGAGUUGACGGUUGAAACGUGUUUUAUAUGCUACCAUCUGUUGUCGACGGUGAAUAGUGUGUUGAUUGUUCAUUUAGUACUUACUGUGUUUAAUUCGUGUUCCUUUACAGUACAGCUGGUUUCUUUUUUUAUUUUCGAUAGUGUCUUGUGUCCAGAUGGAAAACUUUGUGGUCUGACUUUGACUAGUGUUCAUAAUGCCUUAAUCGUCAAAUUAUUUUCUACAAAAAAAAAUGGUCUCCUGUCAGAUGACUGCAUUUAGAUCAAAUUCUAUUCAUUAGUAAUAAUCUCUCUCGCACACACACACACACACACACACACACACACACACACACACACACACACACACACACACACACACACACACACACACACACACACACACACACACACACACACUAUUUAUAUGCAUAUAUAUAUAUAUAUGCAUAUCUUUCUCAAUCAUAUGCAAAAAGGUAAAGGCAGAGUGAGUGAAAAAUAGCAAUUAAGGAGCAACUAUUAGUAAUUUAUGUAUAAUAUGUUGGUUAAUGAGGACGAAGGUUACCUAUACAAUUAUUUUUUGUAACGUGUACACCUGUGUGUAUUUACAUACAUGCAUGUGUUUCUGUGCGUGUGUUUGCGUGCAUGUGAGCAUUCGCAUGUGUGUGAAUGUGUGGUUGACAUCCAUGUUUAUUCUGUUCCUGUUUUUGUUUUCAUGCGUGUCAGCUCUGAUUAGACUACUCGUUGGGACUGACCAUGGGAUACUGGUAUUGGCCCCAUGCAUGAGGGCUGCAUAAGACAUAGCAAUGUGAGGUUUGCAUUCAUCAGUAUGUUCUUCAAACUGAGGCAAUCAUCCAUAAUCUACAAAGUGUAUUGUAUACAAAAAGAAACCAUGAAAAGUCUACUGUGGCCACAUGUGUAAUGUUAACCCCCAUUUGACUUCCACUGUUGGAUGAUCAUUGCUGUAAUUAAUCUAUAUGUGUUGGGCAGUGUUUAUAGCUGAUCACUGUGGAAAAGAAAAUGAUUAUUAAAAAGUAUAUUCUCAUCAGCUCAGUGUGACUGAUAUAUUAUAUUUUUAACCAGCAACAGAUACUUAUAUCAUUGAUUGUUAUUAAUGAAAUCCAUACUUUCUUUUUGCAUGGUAGAGUAGAAAUAAACAUGGAAGUAUUGGGUGAUAACAUGAAAUCUCGCAUAUCUACUUAAAUGGUUAGGAAUGGAUGCAUUUAUCUUUCGGCCAAACUUGGCUUUCAAAUGAAAAUUAACACAGAAUGAUGUAUUUGUCCGACGAGGCCACUAGAUGGCGUUGUGACAUAAUGCUUUUGUUUCCUACCGCAAUUUGAUUAAAACGUUAACUUGUCUUUGACAUUUCGUUGCGUAUGUGCAAGCUUGUUUAGACUUGGGAUUUAAAAGAAAGCUGUUAAGCAGUAGCUAAUAUAUUUUAUCAUCAUUCAAGUCCUUUAAGCGCAUAAUACUCUUGGUAUUUCAGAAUGUCUAAUGACCACGAUGCUACUGGAUUACGCCUACUCUUGAGUAAUAAGAUUUCCUUUUUAUAUAUAUAUAUAUUUAUCUAUGUAUAAUAUAUAUAG
ensembl:lncRNA